ensembl:lncRNA
CCAAGAGAAGAGUUUUUUUUUUAAUUAUUCCUUCAUAUUCAAACUUCACAAACAGUGUGAACUUGUACAAUACCUCAGAAAGUGAAACUUACAAAAAAAGUGCUGGUAACAUUUAAAAAAAAACAACAAAAACCCCAAAAAACAAACAUCAUUCUUAGCAACAUCAAUUACUCUUCCACACAAAACAGAAACCUUGUAAAAUUUAUUUUCGUAUUUUUAAGGCGUAAUACUUCCGUAUAAAGUAUAUGCAAGAGAUAAAACUUCACAGUAUUCCAAAAUGUCACAAUAAUAAUAAUAAUAAUAUAGUAUAAUGAAGCGCUACAGUUAAUUUUCUUUUUUUGAAUGUUUUUUUUCCUGUUUAAAUAACAAAUACAAGUCACAGGUAAAUAUACGUGAGAAAAAUACGAGGCUAAUAUUAAAUGGCAGGAUGUGUGUAUUUAGUCUAUAUUUUAAAGCACUUGAUAGAAAAGGCGUAUGCAAGGUUUUUCAAAACAAGUUUUUGUUUGUUUGUUUGAUAACUGACAACAAUUUAAGAGUAUAAUGAGUAAAAAAAAAAAAAGGAACAAACUCCCUCUCAAAACUAUUGACCUGCUCAUUCCAAACCACAUGUAUAUAUUGACGGGUGGAUGGGUGCGUGUGUUGGUGUUUCCAUGGGUUGAACGGUACACAGACUGAUACAACAGUGUCCCUUGCCCGCCUGCGAGGAUUGGAGGGGACAAUCUCUGCAGUCAUCAAGCCUAGGUUCCUCGUCGGAAAUUAUUCUUUCAGUUUAAAGAUCUCUUUUUCCUUGCCUCUCCCUCUUUCCAAACUCCUCCCCAAUCCCCAGGUCCUUAGACUGAAAAGACAAUCUGGUUAGAAAAGUUGCCCUCCAUUCAAAAUUCACUGGGAAAUAGAAACCGCGUAAACAGUGACAACCACACAGACACUGAAAAUACCACUUGGACGAAUGAAUAUGUUUGUGCAUGUGGGGUGUGUGUGUGUGUGUGUGUGUGUGUGUGUGUGUGUGUACAGUAGCAAUUGCAAAAAAGGGACCAUGUUCCUUUCCAUACUAAGAUACCAUGUGAUAAGAAACAUUUCUGUGCAGGGAAUACGGUUUCUUCGAAUCUUAUCACAACACUGUGGCGGGAAGAUCAGGAAACGGGUUCACCUUUCAGCAGUCACCACAGUAAACUUCAUUGAGAACACGCAGGCCCCGCCCUCUAGUCUGUGCGCAUGCGUGUGUUAACAGCUAGCCAUUCAGCCAACAGGUAACAGAAAGACAGCAGAUAGCAAAACACGUCAAUAAGGUGCUCAAAGAAAAAAGUGGCACCCAUUCCCUGAAUGGGUGGCCACAUUAAGGUGCUUCAAAAAAGGUUUUUUUUUUUUUUUUUUUUUUUCAGUUUUAUUUCAAACAUUAAAAGAGUACUGGUUUGCACAUGGUAGUUCUGAGUCAGGCCAAGGGUUUUGAGAUUUCUGACUUCUUCCACUGAAAAGGGCUUUCGCUGUAGUCGUUUUGCUCAGUUUGUGGUGGGUCAUUUGAGUUAAAGAAAAUUUAAUAGCUGAAAACUGAAAUCAAAUCAACAUGACGAAAAGAAAUAGGUGAAAUGGUAUAGAACAUUACUGCAUUCCCAUUGGAUCAAAAUGGUUUCGCCCAUUUUUCCUCUUUCACUAACACUGUUCCUUUUUUUCUUUGUUACAAUCCAUUCCUUGUGAACAUACAGAAAUGACCAAAGUCACUGCAAGUGGCUGUUUUUAUUUUUUGUGAUCUGUUGCAAGAGUCCAACCUUGUUUCCUCUGCUGCUGUUUGUGUAGCAUCUGGUUUUGUAAUGAGCAUCUGGAUUUAUGUGCAUGUGUGUAUAUAUGCACAUAUACACACCUAUACAUGUAUAAUAUAUACACUAUAUAUAUAUGGAUAUAUAUAGGAAGUGUGUAUACAUUUAUACAUAAUAUAGUGUAUAUUGUUUCAACUGGAGAUAAACUGAACUGGGUUCAGACACUAGCACAUGUUUAUCUUUCCCCUGCCCCCUCUGUACAUUUUAAACAGUCUGGAGCUUUUAUUUAUUUUUUUAAAGUGCAUUUUCAAUGCAGAAUAACUGUAAUCCAAUGAUUUCUUGGAAAACAUUUCUGAUGAGAAAAAUCUGACGGUUCUCAGCCCCCAGUAAGAGAAACCUGGGUUCGGUCGUGCCAGGGGCUGACGUGGCAGUGCCAGGCUUGUGCCUGAGUGAUUACUUGGCGUUCUGGACUCUGGGCACCUCAGUAGCAGCAGCAGCAGCACCUUUGGGAGAAGGCAGAGAUAGAAGAGGAAGGAGGAAGGAAAGCUCAGGUGAGGAAGGAUGAGUUUGCGGUGUGUUACAGGUCAGAAGUGUUCACUGUGUAUUGACGUGUGCAGUUCCUGCUCGGCUUCGGCUAAGAGAUGCCAUCUAGUCCCCUCCCCACCAAUGGACACCAGCCUCCCCACGCCCCGCCCACUCCAGCAUUGCCCAGGCGUCCCCACUCCCCAGGCUGACUUUGGGUCAGCUCCCUGUGGGGAUUUGAGUGCCAGCGUCCAGUAGGAAUAAGGCACCAGAGAAAUCAAAAUGUUACAAAAAAGAUGCAAAACCCCGUUUCAAAGAGCCUCUCCCAUUGCUCCGUUAAAAUAUUGCAUGUGAUACCAUUCGUGUGUAAAAUGUGUCAAAUGCAGUCUCUGAAAGGAACUGGAGGCCCGUCAGCACCAGAGAUCUUUAGGAAUGCACCCUUUGUCGAAACACACCCACGCCCCCCACCCUCAUGCCCACCCCACGCCACGUGCAUAAGCACCAGAUUGGGAGAACAAGGUUGUGCGCUAUUGCUCACCUCAUUUUUGAGAAGGAUCAAAGAAGUCUAUGAAAUCAAAUUUUUCAGGAAUUGCUCUAAAAUUAAAUGGGUGUAGGCUGUCAUGUAUCUGGUUACUGGAUGCUCUAAAUGUCCAAAGAAUAUGAUUAAGGGGUCGAAAUCUUUGUACUGAUGUUUGAGGGAAUGUGUUAAACAAAAAUUACUUCCUAAAUGACACCCAAGUCCUCCCCCACUAACAUUUCAACCUCCUCUAUUUUUUAAAUGCUGUAAAAAAAAGAAGAGUUUCAUCUAGCUAUAAAAGGAAAAAAUGAAGGCACAUGAUUUUAUUCGGUCCCACAAUCCUUAAGAAAAAUGGUAUUUUGCAAGUAUGUGUGUCUGUGUGUGUGUGUGUGUACACGUGCACACAGGUAUGAAAUGGGAGACCAAGGGCCAUUGGGGCAGUCAAAGGAAAGUUGGGAAAGGAGAAGAGAGAAUUUCAAGACAGAGAGAAGAAAGGAGAAAGGAGGAAACAGAGGCCUCUCUUCAGCUUUCUGUCACAGACAGUCUCUAGAUUUGGCUGCUUUUGGGUCCAGAACGAAAUUCAUUUGUCUUGGUCUAGAAAGUGCCCCCAGUUUAAAUAUCUCCAGUUAAUAAUGUUACAGCUUUUGGUGUUUCCCUUUUCCCUUCCCUCCAGCCAAAUGAUUUAAAAAAAAAUCACAGUUUUAAAAAAUUAUUUUUUCAAUGUUGAAAAAAUAUGGAAAAGCUAUUGAACAGCCUUAGGGCACUCCGCCUCUCCAUCUUCACAGUGAGCAGAUGGAUAGACAAGCCAGAGAGUCAAAGAUGAGGCAGGCAAGCUCCUUUGUGCUAGAGGUCCCUUGCCUCACCUUCCCCAGGGCUGGGGUGCCCUUCAGAGCAUCCACAGCAUUUUCAUUCAAUUGGAUCCUCCCUACCCAACCCCAUCCAUGGAAGGUGGGCUGCUGAGAGAGGCAAAGCCAUUCCAGAGAGCAGAGGUCUCAGAAGACAAGGAUGGAGGUGACAGCGGUGGGGGAGCUCUCCCCUCAGGCAGAGCUGUUCUUGGGCAGGAUGGGAAAACUGCCCACUGACCAGGUGAAGUGGCACUCACACGGACUUCGUGAGCCUUCAGCUCCCAGGCUUGCCAUCUUUAUGCCUCUGUGGCCCCAGAGUUGGCCCCCAGUCCUUAAGAAGGCAAUGAUCCAAGACAGAGAGGCGGAGUCAACCGGCUGUGUCAUACAAAAAAGGGCUACGGACAGUGGGAUUUCAUAAAGAAAUUUAACUUUGGUUUUCCAACUUUUUCAAACCAUAAAAAUUAAAGCAGGGCUUCAGUGGCUUCCAUCAUCUGACAGCUGUUACGUUUUUCUCAUUUGGCAAGGCUAAGGCGGGGAGGAAGAGAAAAGGGGUUUCCCAUAAUUGGUCGAAGACACAGGGUGGUAAAAUGCUUCCACACUUAAACUCACAGUCCAGUGUUUUUGACAUUUCAUAAAUAGCUUUUUUUUUCCUCUAAAAAAAGAAUAAAACAAGAACAAUCCCUUUACUUACUCAUCUGAAACAAAAUAAACAGCAGUGGGUACAAACUUCUUCUUGUAACAAUUACAAAAAACAACAAUAUAAUCCCAACUUUUAACACGCAUCUUGAAUCAGUUAUUUUUUUUUUUAACCUCAAAACUGCAGCAUAUCCUUAAGGGCAAACUUUUCAAUUAGUUUUUUUCUUUUUUUUUUUUUAAAUAAUGUCUUCACCAAAAAAACAGUCUUGUACCAAUAAAAUGCAUUCAAAAAUAGAAAAUAUUACACAACAAAAAUAUGUAUCCUUCCUUUCCAAAAAAGAUUCUUCACAAAAAAAUGUAGAAAAAAUUCCAACAAUUUUUUUCCUCUCCUAAACAUUAACUUUCAGUCUAGGGCACGAUUAUUUAUUGAUUUAAAUGUCUGCUUUUGCAUAAAACAUGGAAGAUGCAAAACAAUUACUGUAUAAGGUUUGUGAAGUUACGUCUACUCCCACCCCAACUCUAAAACAGAACCAAACCAGAAAAAUCCAGCAAACAUUAGACAAAAGAUACAGCUGGUUGACUAGGGGAAAAAAAAUCUCUGUUUCCUUUCACUGUGCAUUUGUAUGGGUUAACUGGCUCUGUCAGUGUCUGGGAAUGCUCAAGAAGCGAGAUCAGAUUGGAGUCAAGAGGCUCUUUAGCAUGAGCUGAUGUUCUGAGACUCCUUUACAGUCUCCCAUGUCAUGGGCUUACCUGCUGCAAAUCCUCAAGGAGAAAAGAAACAUCCUGCCUGAGGAUGGGCAGAGGACUAAGCUGUGUCCACACUUGUACUGUACAAAUACCUCUAUACAAGCCAGUUUCUCCAUCAUAGCACAUUUUUCUCCCCCCUUACAAUAGAGCUUAAGCCUAGAAGAAAAGGCAACAGAGAGCUCCAGUGGUGUGUGGGAGGCUGGGGCCAUUUUCUCUGUAGUCACCUUGACCACACUGAACCAGAUUGGGCAUUAACUGUAACAAUAAUGCGAUCUCUAAUCUUAACGGAAUGUCCUAUUUUCCCCAUCCCCAUUGAAUCCAGGUGUCUUUUUAAUUUCAAAUGUUGUAGCUUUUAAACGAUUUAUUUUUUUCUUAUUUGAUGGUAUUUCUCUUUCAUGUGGGAUGUAUUUUGUAUGGUGUUUUCAGUACAAAUGGAUUUUUUUUUCCCCUAUUACUUACUUGGUUGCUGGUUUUUUCUCUGUGGUUUCUGUUCUGUUUUGUUUCUGAUUUUUAACAGUGAAAUAUGUCCAAUUUUAUUUCCAGUGCAUUAAACAAAUUUUAAAUUAAAAGAAGAAAUAAAACUUUUCCCCCAUCCUUGUAAAGGAAACGACUGACAAAAGUACAAUAUAAUAAAAUCAGGCAUUGCCAAAAACAGCAUGAUGUGCAACCUCAAUUACAUUAAAGAAAAACAAACAGACAAACAAGGAUUAUAAAACAUAAGCGUGAAGGAGCCAAGACUAUGUAAUCCCAACUAUGGUAUGACUGGCAAGCACUGGUUAAAAUAGGUAAGGCUACUCUUAGCUUUCUAACUCGACAUAGUUAACCACUGCUCUUCGGUCUUUUCCUUCUUAAUCUUCCACUCACUAGUUCUUUAUAUCUUUAAAAUGAACAAAUUUGUUUUUAUAUUUUUGGUCUACAGUAGAAUUACAUAUUAAUAAUAUAAUAAACAGAUACUUCAUUAACAGAUUGGUACUGCAUUCAUGUGGGGAAAAUAGAAAAAAAGCACUCACAGAGACGUAGCAAAUGGACUCUAUUCUCAUCAAAAUAACCACAAAUAGGAUAGAAAUUAUAAUCAGGGCAACAGAUUCAACUGAAAACAGGGCGAAAAAGAGAUAUUUGGGGUAAUACAAACUCCUGACAAGUAUGCCCUAGAAUUGCAGCCUCCAAACCUUUCCCAUGAUUUCCACCUUUCUAUAGGAUCACUCAAAAUUCAAAUGGAAAUGGAAACAAAAUGAAAAAAAAGUGGACAGGUGAUUGAGCAAGCCAAAGCUUCCAAGUUAUCUUAGUUGACUGGUCAAGACCAGCUGGACAGCAUUCGAGAAACUGGUAGGCCACAAGGGAGACACUGAUAGUAUUUGUUUUUAAUUUUGGAGGAGUUCCAAGACCACUGUUAAAGAGAGAAACCAAGGAACCAAAUAAUUCUUCUGGUACCAUAUAAGACUUGAAAUGAAAUAUAAUUCCAAUAGAGGGGAUAUGAAGGUGAGUUGGAAAAGAAGAGGAGAAAUAGGCAACUGUUGGGCACCACCUCCGUUUGUUUUCUUCAACACAUUGGUUUCCUUCUUUCUGAGCAUCCUUUAGGAUGAGCUCUGGGUCCCAACAUCCUCUGAGCAAACAUGCAUCAGCUCAGCUUUUGACAUGACAUCUAUGCCUACUGGCUUCGCCAAGGGCUCAAUGGCUCUGCAGCCUCCCCGCCCCCUGCCUUUUAUGCAGGAGAGAAGGGUUACCAAGUUGUAAUGACAGAAGCCUUUCCAUUAACCAUUCCUACUUGACGGUUAACUCACACCAAUGGUCCAGUGUGGGAAUAAAAUAAGAAGGAAAACAAUUGGUCAGAGUUGAGCCUGGUAAUCAACAAGUGUGAAGUUUCUUCCGGGAAAGAAAAAGAAGAAGAGGUCAAAGAAAUGGCAUCAGUCAGAAAAUACUGCUUUUGGUUUCUUUUAAGUUGGAACUAUCCUUGGUUUUUCUCUCAUUCAGUUGCUCCAGUUUAAAGUUUAGAAUCUAGUGCAAAUAUCAUCACAUCACAGCAUUCCAGGAGCAAUACCCUAUCCCUUCGUCCUAGGUGAGUAUUAUCCCUUCAGACCUCCUCAGGAGACUGGGGCAAUGAUCCAGGAAAGCAUAACUGAACAGAUUAUUAACCUAGUACUUGCUACAACAAGAAAGGCACUAUCACAACAGACCAGCCUCAGCAUUUUCCUUGCCAUGGGCAUGGAUGUUUUAACCCCUCCAGCAACCACAAUGGAACCCAAACUGUGGCUUUUCCAGUACUUGAAUUCAUUGGCUAGUUAUCUGAUUUCCCUGUUGGCCCCGGCUGUUGGCUCCAGCCAUGCAGAGCACGGACCUGCUCUGUGUAUGCGCUGCCCCAUGUUUCACCAAUGAUCCUUGUUUGGUUCUCAAUGAUUUAGCUCACUCUCUUCCAUGGAAGUUACUUUCUCUCCAUCAGUCUCCAGGUCAUGACUCUAUUAAAGACUAGUUUACAGUGUCAAGUACUAUCAUUUAUUUUUUUCCCUAUUUUUUUUAAACUUCUAACCAAUCCCUAGGUCAUAGAGACAAUUCAGUAGCUCCUCUAACAGCAAGUCUCCUGUUAAAUAUCACUGUGCACAGAAUGAAAACCUAAGUAUCAUCACUUGACCACCAAAGCAUAUCCCUCGAGCCUGUUGUAUUACUUUUGCCUUGUAAGAGAGGAAGUGGGGCUCUGGAGAUUAAAGUCUUUGGUGACAAAGCUGGAGUGGGUAUGUAAGUUUUAAGGAAGAAGUUAUUUUCCAAAAGCCUCAAGAGAAGUAUCCUAGGACAGUUCAUGUGAAUAUACUUUAAAAGGUCAAUUAUUUCUGUAUAUAACUUUGGUUUGGUACAGUCAGUAUCUUCUCAGUGCUUACCCAAAACAUAUCUCUAAGUAUCUGUUAAGAGCUCUGAACUUAGAGUUUCUUAUUUAAAAGGGAGAGAAUACUUUGAGUGCUGAAGGGAUCGCUUACAUUAGUUCUGAAAGCUCUAAAUGGAAUCUUCUGCCUAGCAAGGCUGAUGGCUUCCUUAAAAAAAUUUCACCUUGGAAAAGUAGAUUUGGAUGGAUACUAAGAGGGAGAGAGAAAGACAGGUAUCACCCAAGAAUUUUCCACAUUGAUGCUCCAACAUGUGACAGGGAUCAGAGAAAUUCAACAAUACCCAUUGAUAAGAGUUGUGAUCCUUCCCUACUGAACCAGAAUCUUCAAAGCUGUCACCUUGGAUACUGGAAGAGUCCUUCAGCAUCUUCACUCUCCUAUUAUUAUUCCCUACACAAUCCAUUACUUUUCCUGUGGCGAAAGAUUCUUUUAUCAAUAGUCACUAUAGAGCUGUCAAAUUCUAAUUAUUUCUGAGAUUUAAAAAGGCAAUAAAAAUAAAUCAAAUAAAAG